rfam:Bifidobacterium gallinarum strain LMG 11586 Contig04, whole genome shotgun sequence.
UAGGUUCCGGUUCACGCCAGCCAUAGGGGCAAGCGACCCGGGUCC